GCAGUCUGGUGGAGGCGGGCAACCAGGCUGCGGUGGUGGUGGUGGUUGAGGCAAUGGAGGUUGAGGAAGUGCUGGUGGUGGUUGAGGCAAUGGAGGUUGAGGAGGAGCUGGUGGUGGUUGAGGCAAUGGAGGUUGAGGAGGAGCUGGUGGUGGUUGAGGCAAUGGAGGUUGAGGAGGCUUAGGUUGAGGCAAUGGUGGUUGAGGAGAUGGAGGUUGAGGAGGCUUAGGUUGAGGCGAUGGAGGUUGAGUUGAUGGAGGUUGAGGCGGCAGCUUAGGUUGAGGCAAUGGUGGUUGAGGGGAUGGAGGCGGCAGCUUAGGUUGAGGAGAUGGAGGUUGUGGCGAUGGAGGUUGUGGAGGCUUCGGUUGAGAAGAUGGUGGUUGAGGCGAUGGAGGUUGAGGAGGCUUAGGUUGAGGCGAUGGAGGUUGAGGCAAUGGUGGUUGAGGCGGCUUAGGUUGUGGCGAUGGAGGUUGUGGAGGCUUAGGCUGUGGCGAUGGAGGUUGAGGCGAUGGAGGUUGAGGAAGCUUAGGUUGAGGCGAUGGUGGUUGAGGAGAUGGAGGUUGUGGCGAUGGAGGUUGUGGAGGCUUAGGUUGUGGCGAUGGAGGUUGAUGUGAUGGUGGUUGAGGAGGCUUAGGUUGAGGAGAUGGUGGUUGUGGAGGCUUUGGUUGAGGAGAUGGUGGUUGAGGAGAUGGAGGUUGAGGAGGCUUAGGUUGAGGAGAUGGUGGUUGUGGAGGCUUAGGUUGAGGCGAUGGUGGUUGAGGAGAUGGAGGUUGAGGAAGCUUAGGUUGAGGCGAUGGUGGUUGAGGAGGCUUAGGUUGAGGCAAUGGUGGUUGAGGAGAUGGAGGUUGAGGCAAUGGAGGUUGAGGAGGCUUAGGUUGUGGUGAUGGAGGUUGAGGAGAUGGUGGUUGUGGAGGCUUAGGUUGUGGCAAUGGUGGUUGAGGAGGUUUAGGUUGAGGAGAUGGUGGUUGUGGAGGCUUUGGUUGAGGAGAUGGAGGUUGAGGAAGCUUAGGUUGAGGCGAUGGUGGUUGAGGAGAUGGAGGUUGAGGAGGCUUAGGUUGAGGCGAUGGAGGUUGUGGAGGCUUAGGUUGUGGCGAUGGAGGUUGAGGCGAUGGUGGUUGAGGAGGCUUAGGUUGAGGAGAUGGUUGUGGAGGCUUUGGUUGAGGAGAUGGUGGUUGAGGAGAUGGAGGUUGAGGAGGCUUAGGUUGAGGUAUGAGGUUGAGGAGAUGGAGGUUGAGGCAGCUUAGGUUGAGGCGAUGGUGGUUGAGGAGGCUUAGGUUGAGGUGAUGGAGGUUGAGGCGGCUUAGGUUGAGGCGAUGGUGAUGGAGGUUGAGGAGGUUGAGGAGGUUUAGGUUGAGGCGAUGGAGGUUG
rnacentral:lncRNA from 1 species